AAUAAACGCAUCCAUGAGUUUUCGUAUCCAAUUUUAAUCGUCAGUCUUAUUUAAAUUUUUUGUAUGAUUAGUAUUUUUAGUGUUAUUAUAUUAUAAAACAUGAAUAGUACUUUAUGUGUGACUUUAUUUUUUUAGUUUUUUUAAUUUAAAUAAGACAAACUAUUGAAGUUGGACACAGAAACUAAUGGCUAUGAUUAUU
rfam:Oryza glumipatula chromosome 2, whole genome shotgun sequence.